rnacentral:rRNA from 1 species
UACGAAGGGGGCUAGCGUUGCUCGGAAUCACUGGGCGUAAAGCGCACGUAGGCGGCUUCUUAAGUCAGGGGUGAAAUCCUGGAGCUCAACUCCAGAACUGCCUUUGAUACUGGGGAGCUAGAGUCCGGGAGAGGUGAGUGGAACUGCGAGUGUAGAGGUGAAAUUCGUAGAUAUUCGCAAGAACACCAGUGGCGAAGGCGGCUCACUGGCCCGAGUACUGACGCUGAGGUGCGAAAGCGUGGGGAGCAAACA